rnacentral:tRNA from 1 species
GCCACUGUAGCUCAGGUGGUAGAGCAGCUGAUUCGUAAUCAGCAGGUCGGGGGUCCAAAUCCCUCCAGUGGCU